UCGGAAUUACUGGGCGUAAAGCGCGCGUAGGCGGUUAUUUAAGUGAGGUGUGAAAUCCCUGGGCUCAACCUAGGAACUGCAUUUCAAACUGGAUAACUUGAGUAUGUCAGAGGGUAUUGGAAUUUCCCCGUGUAGCAGUGAAAUGCGUAGAUAUGGGAAGGAACAUCAGUGGCGAAGGCGAAUACCUGGGAUAAUACUGACGCUGAGGUGACGAAAGCGGUGGGGAGCAAACGGGAUUAGAUACCCUGGUAG
rnacentral:rRNA from 1 species